rnacentral:rRNA from 1 species
UACGUAGGGGGCAAGCGUUGUCCGGAUUUAUUGGGCGUAAAGAGCGUGUAGGCGGUUCGGUAGGUCCGUUGUGAAAACUCGAGCUCAACCUCGAGACGCCGAUGGAAACCCCCGAACCUAGAGUCCGGAAGAGGAGAGUGGAAUUCCCGGGUGUAGCGGUGAAAUGCGCAGAUAUCGGGAAGAACACCCGUGGCUAAGGCGGCUCUCUAGUACGGUACUGACGCUGAGACGCGAAAGCGUGGGGAGCGAACAGG